rnacentral:rRNA from 1 species
AUUGAACGCUGGCGGCAUGCCUUACACAUGCAAGUCGAACGGUAACAGGUCUUCGGAUGCUGACGAGUGGCGAACGGGUGAGUAAUACAUCGGAACGUGCCCGAUCGUGGGGGAUAACGGAGCGAAAGCUUUGCUAAUACCGCAUACGAUCUACGGAUGAAAGCAGGGGACCGCAAGGCCUUGCGCGGACGGAGCGGCCGAUGGCCGAUUAGGUAGUUGGUGGGAUAAAAGCUUACCAAGCCGACGAUCUGUAGCUGGUCUGAGAGGACGACCGGCCACACUGGGACUGAGACACGGCCCAGACUCCUACGGGAGGCAGCAGUGGGGAAUUUUGGACAAUGGGCGAAAGCCUGAUCCAGCCAUGCCGCGUGCAGGAUGAAGGCCUUCGGGUUGUAAACUGCUUUUGUACGGAACGAAAAGCCUCUUUCUAAUAAAGAGAGGUCAUGACGGUACCGUAAGAAUAAGCACCGGCUAACUACGUGCCAGCAGCCGCCGUAACAC